UUUUAGAUAUAGAAGGUAUAUGUGCAGAUUUGUUACAGGGAUAUAUUGCACCCAGGUAGUGAGCAUCGUACCCAACAAGUAGUUUUUCAACUCGUACUCCACUGCCUCCCUUCCUCUAGUAGUCCACAGUGUCUACUGUUCCCAUGUUUAUGUCUAAUACAGCUAUAUUUGAUGCUUCCCUUUUUUUUAGUUUCCUGUCCAUUCCAUUUCCAUGUCUUGUCUAACCUUUCUUUCAAAAUAUUUUCUCUUUCACAAUGCUUCUGUAGUCCAAGGAAAAGUCAAACUUGAACAAAAAGAGGAACAUCUCUUCUGGUGAGACUGGAGAAAAGGAUUUAAGAUACUGAGAGCAUACAGCAGUGGAAUGGUGGGGAGGCAAAAAUCUGCUAUCAUGGAGUUUAAGUUCUAAUGGAAGGUGACACCAAACAAAGGAGAUGGUUAUAUAGUAAAUUAAAAGGUAAUAACUGCUACAUUCCUCUCUCUCUCUCUCUCCUCUCCCUCUCUCUCUCUCUCUCUCUCUCUCUCCUCUCUGUGUGUGUGUGUGUGUGUGUGUGUGUGUGUGAAGGGGAGGGAAAUGGGCAGAUAUUUAUCAUUUUAAUUGAUAAUGUUGCUGAACUAUAAGGCUACAUUUUAAUCAGAGAGAAAGAACUCUACAUCAUUAGCACUUGGAGAUCCUGUAUUUUGAACUGGACAUAGGGACUGGCUGGGAUUUUGAAUUGUCUCUUUUGAGAAGGAAGUUAGCUCUGUGUAGGAAGAAGAAUAAAAAAGACUAUUUGAUAACCAGUAGAAUAAGUUCAGCAGAGACUGGCUAACUGUUCACCAAACCCAGUUUUUCAUCUGGUACACAGAGAGACUACAUUUCUCAGCCUUCUUUGCAGUUAGAAGCAACAAUAUGUGAAGUUCUAAUUAGUGGGAUGUUAGUGGAAGUAAUGAGUGCCACUUCCUGACCUAAUCUGUAUUAAAAAUAUCCCAUGUAUGUUCUCCUUUUGUUCCCUGUUUGCUGGUUAGAUGCUAAUUCUCAGGGCAGCCUGAGAAAUUGUGUAUUGAAGAUGGUAGAGGCUCCAUUAUCCUGAGUAUCUUGAUCUUGUAGACAGUACCUCACACAUUACACUCUGAAAUCAUGCUCUCCUCACCUCCUUGACACUGCCACUAGUUGAACAACAGAGGAAUAAGAAAUCAACAUAUUUUACUAAACCACAGAAUUUAUAAAUUACAGCAGCUAGCGUUCCCUUGACUAAUCAAUAAAUAAUAUUCUUUAUUA